CGGGCUUCCCGGCCCUGCAGGUUGGAGGGGGAAAGCGAGCGCUGCCAGACCGCACAGCUGCUUUUUCUGUUCCUCUUUCCUCAUCUCUUCACGAAUUAACCCAAAAAAAGCUCCCUGCGUAACCCUUGUCUCCCCGGCAGUGCCUGUUCUGUUCCUCCUUCCCCAUCUCUCCAAGGAUUAACCCCAAAAAGCUCCUGUCUGCUCCCUGCCUAACCCCUGUCUCCCCGGCAGUGCCUGUUCCUGUCUCAGCCACUCUGCUGUCCCAAACCCCAUGCCCUGGUGCUUUAGCUGUCACAGGGAGGGUGUUGCCACCAAGAAGAAAAAGCAAAUUGCCCACCAAGCCCCGACUGCAGUCCUGGUGACAGGACCCAGGGCCUGGGGGAGAUGACAGCCACCAAACAGCAUGAAAAGGGCUGUCCCUCAGCCAGCAGGGUUUGCUGUCUGCUCAGCACCUGAGGAGGGAGCUCUGCUCUCCACCGAGAACUGAUACUUGGCCAGUUUUUAUCCAGGACCUGGGGACACGGCUGAUUUCUCAUGUUUGCUUUCCUGGCUGUCUGGCUUGUGCAGCCCCAGCACAUCCCAUUGUUUGAGCUCUCCAGAAAGACUUUCAGUGGAUCUUCCCCCCACUUUCGCAGCAGCUAUAAUUAAAACAGGCCUCCAUAAUGAGGGUGGGAGCUCAGUGGGAAUCGAGGAGCUGACAGCUGAUGUGCUGUCGACUGAGCUCCACUCACCCUACCCUCACUGCCUCCUUCAGCCCCCCACAAACAUGUGAAGAAUCUUCAAAUGACCCUGCACCUCAUUUUCUGUUCCUUUUUCAAUUCCGCUUCUCUAAAACUGCUGAGGGUGAAAUAAAGAAGUUGGUUUAUUUUUAAUCAUUGCAAACGCUUCCCAAACCUGCAACACGAAAUAUUCACUUUUGACACGAUGAGAGCAGCUGAGCCAGGGGGUUUUCUGUCAAGAAGAGAGGCUGGCAAACCUUAAAGCAGCGACACCAGUAGAAAAAGCCUCUGAUGUCCCCUAUCCCAGCAAGGCCAGUCUGCUGCUCUCCCAGGUGAGCAGGAAGCCUUGUGCUUUCUGGUUCAGCUUUUGAAGCUUCUGUCAUGGAGGAAAAAAGGCAAGUGAGAAGAGAGAGGGGAUCACAUGCAGGCUGCAAGUGCAUUUGUACCAGUGUCAUUGGCUCUGGAGCAGCCCUGCAGUGAAAAAAUUGCAAUCAUGUGGCUGUCAGCAUCCCAGCAGGGUCAGCAGCAUCCUCAGCUGGGUAAAAUCCAUGUCUCCCUGCUCUCUACACACAUAAAAACUCCCCAUCUGGCCAACCCACUUUCCCAACACACCAUUCAAGGAAGGGAACUCUAUUUAGGAUCAACCAAGUGUAGCUCUUUUUCAUUCUGACCAGCCUGUGUGUGAAGAGAAAUCCCCAGCAAAAAGGAGCUGAUUGUGCUAAAUGGCAGCAGUUACCCACUCUGGGCCUCAGUGGGAGAGGAAAUGUCUGCAAAAUGGACACUUGUCUCAUUCUCUGACCUCCAAAUAGAAGGAAGUGAGAACCACUUUGUAGUGGAAAGUUCUGAGCACCCAGAAGACCCGAGGAGUGACUCAGGUUUUUGGGUGCUGAGCUUUUCAGCCGUGGUGCCCACUGGGUUUUACUUGGGAAGCACCACACAAGGCCACAGGCACAGACCAAAGCGUGGUGUCUGCUGCAGGCUGUCCUCUUCUGCUCCUCACCCAGGACAUCACGAGCCUUAAAUAAGAGUAUGGAAAUAAAUUCUGGCAACAGUGACUCGUUAAUAUCUAAGCCAAACCCUUGGUGUCAAGAUGUUUAUGAAAUGGUGUGGUUUUAUCAAGUUGUUCUUAAAUGUUGAUGAAACCUUCAAGAAGCCCUAGGCUGGAAGAGGUUCUUCAUGCUGAGUGUUUUCAUCAGUGAGCUGAAUUGGUGCAGCUUAUUUCCUUGCCCUAAUGUGUGAUUUGUAUCUCAUCUUUUUGUUGCCCUGCCAUUCCAUGGGGUGCUUAAAUCCACCUAAUGCAGGGGAAGGAUCAUGUGUGCUCUCUUUCUGUCCCUGGCACAUGUUCCCUCUCCCUCCCUUUGUGAGAUGUGCAGUAAAGCAAGCCUGUAAUCUUAUCUUUUAUUGCCUUUCCUUUGCAGGGGGAGUUUAGAGUUGGAUCCCCCUGAUGUGGCUGGAUCAGGAGCUGACCAGGCCUACUCAGUCUGUCCCUGGGCAGGGAAGCAGCAGGAGCAUGUGGCCAGGGGGUGAGGGGAGGCAUGGAAGCCCCUUCCAGCAGCAGAACAGUUCCACUGGGAACACCACUCACUGUUCAAGCCCCCUUGGGUGGCUCCUGACAAUCCCUAAAGUCACACUCUGGCCUAGUGGAGAUAACAUCUCUGCCUGGAGACCUUUCUGGCUUGCUGAUAACCAAAUCCUCACUGCUUUACACACAAUAAGGACAUCAGGACCCUUGGAGCCUUGCUCAUAACAGAGAAGGGCCUUUCCAAAAAAAGGAUCUGAAACAAAAGCACCUGAGCAGAUAAGGGACAGAGAACAAGUAUCUGCCCAGAAGCCUGGGGAGUUCACUGGGAUGUCCAAAGGGUCAGCCAAGCCCUGCAGCUGGGCCUCUGCAGGAUCCACCUCUAGGAAAUGGCACUGCUGCCUCCUGGCAGCCUGGAAGGAUGGAACUUGCUUCUCCACCUCGGCUGCUCUGGUCGUGGUGGGUCCAUUUGAAAGGGGAGUUGUGGGAUGAGAGACAGUGCGUGACACAGGGCAGGACCCUCCUGCUAGAGAACCCUGGGGUCUCAGGGAGAGGGCAGGAUGAGGCCCACCAAGAUCACCUGGAGGAGGAACCACUGCUGCCAGCAGGGAGGCUGGCACUGGAACAGCUGCUCAGAACAAGCUGGGGAAACCCAGACACUUCUACUAGAAAUCACUACAAAUUCCAUGUAUCUUCCUGUUCUAGGGAAACCCAGACACUUCUACUAGAAAUCACUAUAAAUUUCAUGUAUCUUCCUGUUCCUGGGGAAACCCGGACACUUCUACUAGAAAUCACUACAAAUUCCAUAUAUCUUCCUGUUCUAGGGAAACCCAGAUACUUCUACUAGAAAUCACUACAAAUUCCAUGUAUCUUCCUCUUCCUGUCGUAUAAACCUGUUUGCUUUCUAAGCUUCCCUGUGAAAUAGGAGCAGCUGAAACCUGGUAAUCCUCAUUCUUAUGGAAAAAACAGUUUCCCAACCUCUUGGGGUUAAUUAAAUCUCAUUUGCAGAUGGGCUAGCAAGGACAGAACAUGGUUCUGGACCUUGUCCCACCAAAGGAGCACAGAGAGAGACCAGCUGCAGCUGAGCAUGAGAAUGACAGCCUGAGGGGAAGCAGCUGGUGGGUAAGUUUUAAAAGGCAGUUGCAGUGGCCUAGUGAGGGGACAGUUAUUUUUCAGCAGGGCUGUGGUGGGUGCCUUGGGUUGGUUUUUCUCCCUGGCCUUCCACAAGUGCUGGGUGUGACCCAGUGUGUUAAGCCAGGAAUACCAUUUGCUGCUCUAGGCAGAGUGGGGUUUUGCCUUUUUUUCCUCCUCUCUCUUCCAUGGGCUCAGCCAUGCUUUUGUUCUGCAGCUGACUGGGCUGCAGUGCCCGAGGUUGAAUGCUAACUCCUAUGCCCCUCUGCCCUUCCCUGGGGAAGGAUAAGGAGGGUUUUGUUUCUCCUUUGACAUUCACCAUGGCAAACAAAGCUCAGCAGAAUGAGCAGGUGUAAAAACACAUAUGAGGUGAUAAUCACGGAAACUGUGACUGCCAUGGAAAACCAGGCUGCUGGCUGCCACUGUGAUUGCCAUGGAAGACCAGGCUGCCAAUACUUCGUUAGUCAGCACUGCCCAUGGAAUUCAUAAAGCAUCUCUGUUGCCUGUGUUUGCUGCCUUGAGGAGAUGCUCCAAUGUUUCCCCAGCUGCUGUUGGGUGAACAGUGGGAAGCACACAGGAAAGGAGGUUGCUCCAGGGAGUGCUCUUGUGAAAAUCCAAAGGUUUUGAAUUGUAGUUGUUUGCCCUCCUCGUGCCACAGUUGUGGUGUUUUUUUCCCUGGAGUGAAACGUGCUUUUGCUUUAUGAAAUUGGAAGGUGAAGGAGCCCUAGAAGAGGCUCAGGAAGUUUGCUGAGGGAUACCUGUCAGACUUGGAGCAAGCAAGGGGUGAACAGCACACUGGGUACUUGCUCCAAACUGUUAAAAUCCCAGACUUAGCUGGGACAGUGGAAUAAAGAGAUCGAGUCUCUGGCUGCAUUUUUACCCUUUUGUAGAAGAGGGCAGAGGGCAGCUAUUCAGAUGCCCACGACUCUGGGUGUGGGUUGUAUCCACUGGUAUGAUGAAGCAAAGCCUCGUGGUGGAAGCCACAGCAGCUGCACUUGCCACUUCCCCACUGUGGCCUCGUGACUUUGAUUAAUCCCAACCCGUUGGGUUUAAUUUGGCCACAGCGAUUGGCUGCUGCUGCCAAUUCACUGAAAUCCACAGCCUGCCUCAAAAGUCCUGGCCCCUGAGCAUGCAGCUGAGGUGAGAUCACAUGUGAGGAGGUGCUGCCUGAUGCUUUUUGUGACCUAAAAAAGAACUGUAGACCUUGCAAUAGCACACAAUCCAGUGAGCAGGAAAGGAGCAAUCCCUGCCUGACUUAUCAGGCUGUUUAUUAAGAUAUUAAACUACAUGAUCUUCCUGUUCUAUUCCUUUUCUCUUUCUUACACACCAGCUCUUAGCUCAUCCAGAGUUUUGGAUUUCCAUUUUGAGGACAGCUUACUGGGGCUUUUAUUUCCAGUCUAAACUCUUUGGUUUUAUACCUUCUUCCUCAAUAUUUAGUGCCUUCCUUUUUGCUUUGGAUAAUGAGGGAAGAGAAAGCAAGUAUUUGAACAGAGAAGGAAAUUGUGUGAAGAAAGUUGGGGGGGGUGGGUGUUUUUUCUCAGCCCAGUUCCUUACAGCAGCCUUUGUAGCUGUUCUCUGCCAACUCUUAUUUUUCCUGCAGAAGCUGUAAUUCUUUGUGCUUUUCCUUAAAGCUGUAGCUCCUGGAGUCCCAUGAUUUUCUAAUCACUUCUGUGUGAGCCCAAGUGAGUCACAGCAGAUGGAAAACACUGGAUGGCCAUGACCUCCACUGCUGAAAAAGCCCUAAGUGUAAAACAAAAAAAAGCUUCUAAGUGUAAUCCUCAAAAACCUGCAAAGCAAGGACCUAAUGAAAGGAACGUAGCCCCCUAUUUUCUAUAUAUUUUUUGUUUUAUAUAUUUGUAUUGAAAUAUAUUUUAAAAUGUAUUACACAUUUUCAUUUGUUUUCUUUAUGGAUAACCUAGAUGUAUAGUUCUAAAUUUUUUGGGGGUUGGGUUCAAUAGUAUUUAGAGAAACAUAUUACUUUACAUUUAUAAAAAGAAACCCUGCUUCAAAGGUUGUGGCAGAGAUUUAUCUGGCUGCAAUCUUACUGCUUAUGACCCUGACAAGAUGACACAAUGGGAGCAGGAACAGAAUUCUGCAUCUUGGUGCAUAUCCUUUAAAACAUUGAUGAGCUGGUGCUGCACUGUUGAUUCCCUUGUAUUUGGGAGGAAUCAUCUGCUUUUCUGGCAACUCUGUUGCUGUUCCAGAUCUUGCUAGAGCUGAUUCAUGAGGGCAAAGCCUUCAUGGCUGCUGAUGCUCUUUGUGUUGAUCUACUUGGUUUGGAGUAUCAGCUGCCUUGGGAUAUGGUUUGCCUUGAAACAGGAGUCUAAUCCCAGUAAGUAGCACCUAAAAUGCUGAGGAAACCUGGAAACAAAACAGAGCUUGUAGCUAAAAUGCACAACUUGUGACAGCUGACAAAGGAAAUACUGAAAUGAGAAUUAGCUGCAGUGAUUUGAGGUUUUAUGUUAUGCUUUGUUUGGCAAAUCCAGUGUACUCGAUGUGACCCCUUUUGAUAAUUAAGUUGU